rnacentral:rRNA from 1 species
UACGUAGGAGGCAAGCGUUAUCCGGAAUGACUGGGCGUAAAGGGUGCGUAGGUGGUUUGGCAAGUUGGUAGCGUAAUCCCGGGGCUCAACCCCGGAACUGAUUUUAAAACUGCUGUGCUUGAGUGAUGGAGAGGAAAGCGGAAUUCCUAGUGUAGCGGUGGAAUGCGUAGAUAUUAGGAGGAACACCAGAGGCGAAGGCGGCUUUCUGGACAUUAACUGACGCUGAGGCUCGAAAGCGUGGGGAGCAAACAGG